rnacentral:tRNA from 1 species
GCGGUCGUAGCUCAGUGGUAGAGCGCCACGUCGUGUCCCUGGAUGCGCCGGUUCAACUCCGGCCGAUCGCCC